rnacentral:lncRNA from 1 species
CCACUACUAGUUGGGGUUGGCGCAGGACAGGAAAUAUUGAUUCUAUUUGGCUAAGUUGGUCAGCUUCACAGAAAGGAGAGGUCGAGUGAGGUGUGCAAGGAAGAGUCUAAAGUCAGCUCAAACUCCAAGGUAGCCGCCUAAUUCAGUAUCAAGUAAUAAGGGUUAAGGCAAAAACCGAUUCUUCAUCAGAGCUGGUUUGCAACGAGAGAAUCCGCCGUUAAGUUGUAAGUAUCCCGCUCGCUAACAGGAGCUCGAUUGGCGCUUGAAAGAUGAAACAAACGGAGAAACCUAUACCUUGUGCUCGAAGGAGAAAAUGGAAUCUAUCUAUGUGCAUCAGCUUACAAGUGUAGUUCAUUCUGUCUGUGCAUCAGCUUAAGUGGUAACUGCUUCUUUUCCUUCCUAAAGUCCAGUGGAGCAGUAGCUGUUUCAUCAGUUGUUUUCCUUGGCGAUAAUGGAGCGGAGAGUUCUCGUCUUUGAACCUCUGUUUUCACUAUGCUAAUGUCACUCUCUGUGAUAUAAUGAAGGUACUUUGAAAGGUAGUUUCAAUACAUUUAGCCGUAUAUAGUGAUCCUUACUUGCGAACUCCAUUUACCUAUAGUCUGGAACUCACGAAAUACCGUCUUGUAUAAUCUUUGCGCUGUUCCUAAGUGCGAUCAAUGAGAUUCUUUAGAGAACAACAAGUAGGGGGGCGAGAGAACUUGAUAGCAAGUACUUAUGGAGCGCUAAGUUAAUGAGUGGAAGUUGAAAGAUCAGUUACAGACUAAGGAUGGAUUGUAAGUGAGAGAAUCAGAGGCUCAAGUCAGUGGUUAGUGAUUCAAUCUCUUCUCUUUGGGUGCUCAAGUAACGUUAAGGGGAAGGUCAGAGGUCCGCUGCUGAAUGUACUGAUUUGAUUGACCUUAGCCAAAGGUGUCGCUGCUGAAUGUACUGAUUUGAUUGACCUUAGCCCAAGGUGUCUUAGUCAUAGAGAAUGGCAUGUUCCUGUUCUGUUUGAGUAUUCUCCUAUAUCCCAAAAGAAUGGAAGUUUGACUUGAAGUUGAAUCCGAGAUGUCACUCGCGUUAGCAAGUUAAGCGCGUAAGGGAGUUGUUGCCCUUAUAUUAACUCGAUCCACUGCUGAUUUGAAUGUGUAACUUGACUCUAAGCGUGCGGGAAGGGAGUUUUUGAGAGUUUACAGUACAAUUGAUAUGUGCGUUAGGGAAGAGAGUUCAGGUGGAUUACUUGACACUUCCUAUUUCGGUUCAGAAAGAAGAGUUUCGAGGCUACGAAGCAACUGAAUCCGAGUAUAAAGCUGGUCCAGGUUCAGGAAAUUGAUCUUAAUCAGGUAAGUAAGGAGCAAUCCCCGUUCUUGUUUUCAUGCCCAUGUAGCAGUUAGGGUCAGAAAAGAAUCAAGCUCAGGGUUGGCCAAAGACCUUGUCUAUACACUCUAGUAGCUGCGGCGGGGAGAAGGAUUAUCAAACAACAUAUGCCUCGCUUCCGCCUAUGCCUCUGCAAGUGCUUAGUCUGUUUCAUAUCCAGCUUCGCUUCUUCGGA